AACGAACGCUGGCGGCAUGCCUAACACAUGCAAGUCGAACGAACCCUUCGGGGUUAGUGGCGCACGGGUGCGUAACGCGUGGGAAUCUGCCCUUUGCUUCGGAAUAACUCAGGGAAACUUGUGCUAAUACCGGAUGAUGUCUUCGGACCAAAGAUUUAUCGGCAAGGGAUGAGCCCGCGUAGGAUUAGGUAGUUGGUGGGGUAAAGGCCUACCAAGCCGACGAUCCUUAGCUGGUCUGAGAGGAUGAUCAGCCACACUGGGACUGAGACACGGCCCAGACUCCUACGGGAGGCGGCAGUGGGGAAUAUUGGACAAUGGGCGCAAGCCUGAUCCAGCAAUGCCGCGUGAGUGAUGAAGGCCCGCGGGUCGUAAAGCUCUUUUACCAGGGAUGAUAAUGACAGUACCUGGAGAAUAAGCGCCGGCUAACUCCGUG
rnacentral:rRNA from 1 species